rnacentral:rRNA from 1 species
UUCCAGACUCCUACGGGAGGCAGCAGUGAGGAAUAUUGGUCAAUGGUCGGGAGACUGAACCAGCCAAGCCGCGUGAGGGAUGAAGGUACAGAGUAUCGUAAACCUCUUUUGUCAGGGAACAAAGGCGGGGACGUGUCCCCGGAUGAGUGUACCUGAAGAAAAAGCAUCGGCUAACUCCGUGCCAGCAGCCGCGGUAAUACGGAGGAUGCGAGCGUUAUCCGGAUUUAUUGGGUUUAAAGGGUGCGCAGGCGGUCUGUAAAGUCAGGGGUAAAAUCGCGGGGCUCAACCUCGCUCCGCCGUUGAAACUGGCGUUCUUGAGUGGGCGAGAAGUAUGCGGAAUGCGCGGUGUAGCGGUGAAAUGCAUAGAUAUCGCGCAGAACUCCGAUUGCGAAGGCAGCAUGCCGGCUCCACACUGACGCUGAGGCACGAAAGCGUGGGUAUCGAACAGGAUUAGAUACCCCAGUA